GGCAUAACUUAGUGGUUAGAGAGUCCGCUUCGGAUGCGGGAAGUCGCAGGUUCGAACCCGGCUGAGCCA